UGAGGGAAUAUUGGGUCAAUGGGGCGCAAGCCUGAACCAGCCAAGUCGCGUGAGGGAAGACGGUCCUAUGGAUUGUAAACCUCUUUUGUCAGGGAGCAAGCGCGGGACGCGUCCCGUCGUUGAGAGUACCUGAAGAAAAGCAUCGGCUAACUCCGUGCCAGCAGCCGCGGUAAUACGGAAGGUCCGGGCGUUAUCCGGAUUUAUUGGGUUUAAAGGGAGCGUAGGCCGGAGAUUAAGCGUGUUGUGAAAUGUAGUGGCUCAACCUCUGCACUGCAGCGCGAACUGGUCUUCUUGAGUACGCACAACGUGGGCGGAAUUCGUGGUGUAGCGGUGAAAUGCUUAGAUAUCACGAAGAACUCCGAUUGCGAAGGCAGCUCACGGGAGCGCAACUGACGCUGAAGCUCGAAAGUGCGGGUAUCGAACAGGAUUAGAUACCCUGGUAGU
rnacentral:rRNA from 1 species